UAGGGAAUCUUCCGCAAUGGACGAAAGUCUGACGGAGCAACGCCGCGUGAGUGAAGAAGGAUUUCGGUUCGUAAAACUCUGUUGUUAAGGAAGAACGAGUGUGAGAAUGGAAAGUUCAUGCUGUGACGGUACUUAACCAGAAAGGGACGGCUAACUACGUGCCAGCAGCCGCGGUAAUACGUAGGUCCCGAGCGUUGUCCGGAUUUAUUGGGCGUAAAGCGAGCGCAGGCGGUUAGAAAAGUCUGAAGUGAAAGGCAGUGGCUCAACCAUUGUAGGCUUUGGAAACUGUUUAACUUGAGUGCAGAAGGGGAGAGUGGAAUUCCAUGUGUAGCGGUGAAAUGCGUAGAUAUAUGGAGGAACACCGGUGGCGAAAGCGGCUCUCUGGUCUGUAACUGACGCUGAGGCUCGAAAGCGUGGGGAGCGAACAGG
rnacentral:rRNA from 1 species